GUCGUCGUAGCCGAGUGGUUAAGGCGACAGACUAGAAAUCUGUUGGGCUCUGCCCGCACAGGUUCGAAUCCUGUCGGCGACG
rnacentral:tRNA from 1 species